CCUACGGGGGGCAGCAGUGGGGAAUAUUGCACAAUGGGGGAAACCCUGAUGCAGCAACGCCGCGUGAGUGAAGAAGUAUUUCGGUAUGUAAAGCUCUAUCAGCAGGGAAGAGAAUGACGGUACCUGACUAAGAGGCCCCGGCUAACUACGUGCAAGCAGCCGCGGUAAUACGUAGGGGGCGAGCGUUAUCCGGAUUUACUGGGUGUAAAGGGAGCGUAGACGGCUCUGCAAGUCUGAAGUGAAAGCCCGAGGCUUAACCGCGGAACGCCUUUGGAAACUGUGGAACUGGAG
rnacentral:rRNA from 1 species